CUGUGACACUACUCCCACAGCCCCUGCAGAAAGACUGCUCUGAUUCAGCUUUGUUGGUGAUUAUGUAGGAUUAGGUUUGUCAGUGAGAAUAAAGCCAGUGCACCCGUUGUGAUCUGUCCUUUCUGUGUGGCCUCAAAGGCCACAGUGCUCCUGUGCCUGCAGAGAUCUUCCUGCUCAUCAGCCAAGGGGCAGAGCCUGGUUAUGAGCACGGGAUUUUAACUCUGUUUGCCCCUUCCUCGUUUUGGGACCAGUUUACAUCAAGCCUCCAAAAGCUCAAUGGCAUUGUUGAACAUGCCCAAUUUAAACAGUAUUUUUCCCCUCAGAUGAGCAGCUACCAUCCAGUCAGGGUAUGUAAAGGCUUGGUCCCAACUAUCAGGUAAUGAUCAGCUAUAAUGAAUUAAGAAGCAGUGGCUCUAGAAAGUAGUCUAUAUGUUCUGCAGUAAUUAAGGUUAUUUUUAGGAUAAUACUCUUACAAACUGUUGAGUUCCUGGAUACCUAUGAGCAAAAACCCUGGCAAAGUUACAUUUGUUCUUUUAGCAAGAAAAGAAAGCAUUAAUAACCAACCAGGCUUUUUCUCUUUCCACUUACAAAGCCUUGUUUUUUUCCCCUUCUUCUAACAUAUUAAAUUAAUCAGUUUUCAUACUGUUUUCUGCUUGUUUAGCAUAACCAGUGAGCAGAUUAGUCCUUUAUCUCAGCUAUCCAUAGGUUUCUUUAGGAAAAAAGGUGAUUAUUGCUGUGGUCACAACAGGGUACCCCGUUCUUAAUCCCCUCACUGGCAACCUUUGAUCCAUCUACAGUUAAACACACGUGUCCAGGACACACUGCUGUGCCUAUCUCUAAUCCUCCCCACAAAACCAGAGGGUUAACUGUCCUACAUGUUAAUUAGCUUGGAAUCAAGGAGCCAAAUAACAUUCCUGCAGUCAGAAUAGGUGACAAAGCAGGGAUCAGAGGGAUCUGAGCUUUCCAUUACAUUUUGUUUUCAAAGAGGUAACAAUCCAUGAGUGCACUAACAACACUGUCCAGCAGCCUCAUCAAUGUAUGAUCACAGCAUUUUCCACCCUAUUAAAUAAUUCUCAUGUUAUGUGUAAAGCAGAGUAAUGCAUCACAAGUUUUAAAUAAAAAUAAAUCAAUCACACAUUUAGAACACUAGAGUUCUGAGCAAAUACUUGGUCGGGUUUUUUUAUAGAACAGGCUGCAACCCAGUGCUCUUUCACAUCAUGAUUUACUUCAGUCUACUCCAAGAUUUUAAACAAAAAGCUAAAAAUUCCUAAAGACAGAAUGUCUUGAAACACCCUGAUGAGUGCCUCAAGUGUACUUCAGUCCAUUGGAACCAGUUUUCUCCAGAGUAACACAUGCUUUCUCUGAUGAAUGGAAAGAACAUCUCUGUAUAAUUACUGAAAAUGUGAGAUCUAUGUUCCAGUGCAGAAUCUUGGGUAUUUUACAUUAAAUGCCAACAAAUGUUUUAUUCAAGUCACAACAGCAACACAACUCCAGAGAAAAGACACAGUGAUAGUCUUGAUUCCCUCUUGUCAGAUCCAUUUUGUGCUGGUGAGAUGCCAUCAGUUUCCAGAUGGCAUCACUGUAUAGAAGUGAUGCACAGAAUUGCUGUAGUGAAAUGACAAACAAUGAGGUCUAAUAAACUUGACAUUUUGGGUUGUUUCUAAUUAUCACAGGUAACAAGCUAAGGCCAGAAUGAUCAGUUUCAACUAAGUUUACUUAUGCUUAUAGUAUUUAGUGUAAUUUCAGUAGUAGGUGACAUCUAAAACUGCUAAAGCUUUUUUCAUCUUCUACACAAGGAACUGCACGUCCCUAGGAGUCACAUAAAUGUGUGUCCUGAAGGCAUAAUCCUAGAAUAAUUCCAUUCCUUCUGCUGAAAGUUAGAGCUAUGUAUUACAGUAACACUGUUUUUAUUAAUGAGCUGUAUUUCAGGUCUCUCUUCUCAGAAAUGCUUUCUGGAGCAGCUAUGUUUAUGGCCUCUCCUGUGCAGCAUAACUCAAUAUCCCUGUUACGUAGAUAACUCAGAUUUAUGCCUCUAUCCUAUGAGACAUUUCACAAAUGCGGGCUUAGUGUUGUCAGGCAGUUUGAUGGAUGUUAAAUCCUGAAAUUUACCCAAGUACAUCCAGAUAAUGGCGUGGCAAUACCGGUUCCGAAUCUGAAUGCAUCACCAUUGUAGUAAUGCAUUCCCUCACCCCCUCCUGUGAGGGCAGUCAUAUUUCUGGAGAGGCACACUACAUCACACAUCACCUUAAUGUCACCCACAGCACUGCCUCACCACGUCGGGACAGGCACACCAUUGAGUUCUGCCCCAAGGGAAGCUGCAUUUCUUCCCUAGGCCUCAUGCAUGCUUUGAUCAUUCAGUGUAGUAAAAAUAAAGCCAGGAUAGACAUUAAAAAAAAAAAAAAAAAAGGUUGUUUUGCUUCUUUCUGAUUCUAAGAGGACUCAACAAGACUAGGAAGUGCUGACUGCAUGGCAACCGCUUUACAUGGAUUAACACCUGAUAAAAUUUUACAUGACAACAGCUGGUAACACCACUACCAGAUCUCCAAAACAAGAAGCAAUCAUGCUGGUAACUUUGCAGUCCUAGAAUCCCUGAAACAUCUGCCAGGACAAACUAAAUAAUUUCAAAGGAAUUCUGGAAGCACGUGAAUAAUAGUCUGCUCCAUAACAGCCCGUCCUUAUUGUGGCCGCAAGAUGACAAAGAAACAGCAGCUGGUGAAGGCAGGCAAAGAGGUGUUCUAGCAGGAGGCCACAUGUAGUGUCAUGUUGAAAGUCUUUAAUGAAUGGAAACAGUGGGCAAUACUGAGGAAGAGGUGUGCUGGCAUGAGGAAAAGGAUCCAUUUAACUGGCCUUCUGCUUUUCCAAGAGUCUUUGUUCAGACGGAUCUGUUGAGCCAAGUCUUCAGGAGUAAAAGGGACAGACUGCUAGACCAGCUACCUUCUAUUCUGCUUAGACACAGCUGAAAUACAAGGCCUUUAAAAGAAUUUUGGACACUAUUACAAAAACCAAAAUCCCACAAUUGUGUGAGCAAGUGUCAAAGUUCUCGAAUACAAACUUUACUGACCAGCUGAAUAUGAGGAAGCCACUGGCACGAAAGCACUGAAUAUUUCAUCUUUCAGUGGAACAUGCAGUUUCUGGGCAGAGAGUUUCUAUGAGCUGAGGUGACCAGAUUUUUAUUAUUUAAUCAUUAUUUGCCUGGAGCAGUCAUUUCUCUUACAAAACCUUCCAACCAUUCCAGUGUGGCUCAGAUCUGGAGGUUAGAACUCAGCUCCUUCCCAGUGAGAGGCUUCACAGAAGAAAUCGUGCAGUGCUGUGAGACUCAGGACUGGCAAGUGCGAGUGGAUGUGUGGUUCUGGGGAUAAAUCAUGAAAACAGCUGGGUAAUUCCUUGUUAAAAUUGUUCUAGCGUAAACCUGACAACUGAAUCUAAGUAAAAGAGCAGAAACAUUACUAUAACCACCUAUAAUACCAUGAUAGAUGGUGUUACUGUUGCCUGGAGACCUCAGUCUCUAAGCCAGAUGUCCACAGGUUAAAAUCUGUUGCCUCUGUAAUAAAAUAUAAGAGUUGCAAAGAAUGACUCAACUAAUGAGCAGUUCUCUUGAACUUUGAAUGCAAGCUAUUUUUUCCCAUUUUUUCCUACUCUCCUUUAGGUCUGAUGAAUUAUGUAUCCAUUUAGCCAUUCUUGGUUUAGCAGAGGCAUCAAAGGGAGCUGAAAUAUGGAGAGAGAUGGUCAAUAUUAGACAGACAUAUGAAAAGGGUUACAUCUGCAGGGUUCCUUUUGGAAAGCUGUUCAAAAUAAGUUCGAAAGAAUAAGUGUGACAGGAGCAAGAUAAAAGUCCAAAUUAGCACAAAUAGCUCUAAGCAGCAUUGAAAAAGUAGGGUACAAGGUGCAGUGUCCAGCAGAAAUUCAGACCACAGAGAAAUCCAUGAUAAAUGAUUCAUAGGCUACAGAGUGGAUAAAUGACACAACCGAGCCUUUUUAGUAACUGAAUGGAGACAGUCAUAGCUGAAAUGAAUGGGCUAAGUUUGUGACUCUUUAACAGAACAAGAUUUUACAUAAUUUUGCAUGAUUCCUCCUCACUUAAGUUGUGUGAAUACAGAGUUAUUUCCCUAUUCCUUAGGCAAACCUGUUAAACAGCAUUAAAUUCCUUCAGGAAUCAACAUGAUUUCCCAAUCCCUGCCAUUGCCUCUUCUAAAUCUGAACUGGGGAGAAGUAAAAGCAGCAUUACAGAAGGCUUUGAACCAAAACAAGAUCCUGACUCAGGAUCAUCUGUCUCACUUCACGUCCUUGUAUUUUGCCAAGUGCUGCACACCAGGAAUUGAUAAUCUCAUUCAGUUUAAGGGCCUCCCUCAGCUGAAAAUACUGAGGCCAAGAAUUCUCAGGUUUUGAAGCUCUGAAUGCUCCUGGGCACUGAGAACAAUGUGAGAGAAUACAAGCAGAAGAAGUGACUGUGAUCUCAAGAGCACAAAGAAGUAAAAAUAUCCAAAAAAAAGACAAAGAAGAGAUACACACCAAGAUUUUCUAAAGGAUUAAAUCUUGUCACCAAAAAAAAAAAAAAGAAGCAAACAUUGAAAAAUACAGAAGAAAACAAAAAGAAGAAUAAAAUUACCCUGUGUGGGGAAGAGAGCUUCUCUGCUUUCCAACACCCACCAGUCAUAGGAGAUGUGCCCAGGAGCCAGGAUCUUCAAGCAGACCCACAUCUCAUUUUGGGAAAAGAGUUUUUUUAAGCUCCAUCCCUACAGCUGCUCGUGCUGAGGAAGUUGUCAGGAUAACGGUGCUGCCGUGCCAGCGCUGCUCAUCUCCUGAUGUUCUGCUCCUCUCCUGAUGUUCUGCUCCUCUCCUGAUUCAGGGACAGGUUACUGCUCAGCAAAGCCCAAUGUUUUGUGGUGAAGACAGAAAAGUGUGUGCACACCCAAGAAGAAGUCAUACAGCAGCCUGUGGAUUCCUGGACAUGCUUCUGGCAUGAUGGAAUAUCUGCAGAGAACACCACAACAAUUAAUUAGUGACUCCACUGACAUUUGAAAGUUACCUUAUGUUCAGGAAACUCUCUAGGUAGGAUUUGUUCACCCUGGAAAGCAACCUCAAAUCAUGUCACAUCUGCUUCUCUCCAGCAGAAGCUGCUCUUUUACUUGAUGUAUUCCCCUGCAGGACUCUCAGUUCUUUCUUUCCACCUCCAGCCUCAUUCACCAGGAAGAUAAGAAAUUAUUCCAGGAUAUUGGAUCCAUCACAAAUCGCCACCAUCCCAGAGUCCACAGAAAAAACAGACAUCACAAUUAUUUUAUUUAAAUAUUCAUUGCUUUAUUGAUAAAAUCAGCAGAGCAGGCCUUGUAGCCUUUUUGCGUAUCUUCUUUAUAUGAAGGAUCUUAGACUUGGCCUAUUAUCAAUUAGAAUAAUUCAAAAAGUAGCAAAAAAUCAAUGUGUUGAUAGAAUUAUAAAUGAAAUUUCUUUCUGAGUAGAGAAAAGAGAGGCUAUUCAGGAGGAAUAGCGUAACAGCAUUAUAACAGAGGAUGUUUAAAACUUAGAUGAUGAACACAAGAGUGACUUCCUACCUAAAAGGUUAUAAAAGUAGCAAAAACUUAAAAAGUAAAACCUUUCCCCAUAUGCAUGUAAGCUUCCAUACCUCUUCUUUUUUUGGCUGCAAGACAAAGACUGGGAACCAGACUUAUUGAAUACCCUUAAUUCUGCUGGAAGUGGAAGAUUAAUUAUAAGGAGGGAUAUUUCAUACAAACCUAUUUUACACAUAAUUGAUGUUUUAUACAAAUAUAAUGAAGGUUAACUUUGUCAGAUGUGAAAUAAUAUUGCUUAGGGUUUUCUUUAGUGCUGCUUAAAUUAAAAUAAUACUUUUUUUUAAGAUUUGUACUGGUAGCAAAGGACACAAACCAGGAUUAGAAUGGAGAAUCAUGCAGCCAAGCAAAAAAGUAAGGCUCCCCUGUAGUGUUUAACAAGACUGCACCAGAGUCUAUUGAAAACACUCUUUUUAAAAAAUUGUUAUUUGUCUGAAAAAUCCCUCCAACAGAGUCACUGUAGGUGUUAGUCACAAAUUGUGCAUAGUAAUGAACCAUUGUCUGGAGGAGGGGAAAUCACAUGUAGGAGUCAGGAGGAACAGGACACCCAAAGAGCAAGCAGUGCAACCUGUGCCAGCUGAAACGGAAUUCAGUAGUGUUAAAACACCCUCUAGGCUCAGUAUCAUGUGAAAUUUCUAAUUUGGACGGAACACACCAGCUGCAAAGGCACCAGUGGAUGAAAAUGUUCACUAGUCACUGUCCUAAACUGGCCACGUGGCCAUCCAGUACCAACCAAAGUGCUCCCACAAGUCCCAAUAUCUGAAAGUGCAGCUGUCCAUAAUGACUGCGGAGGGGAAAAAAAGACACCCUAAAGACCCAAGCACAUGGAAAAAAUGUAAAAACCAGGAAGCCAUUUCAGCAGGAGUAGAGCUUGGUGAACAGUGACAGAACUGUCUGGACUCAAGAUGAGAAACCAGAGAGAAAUCUCCCUGUUGUGUGGCCAUUUUGUGAUCUAUUUAGCAUUUUGGAAGUUCUCGAACCAGAUUUGUUUGUAAUCAGUGGUUUUACAUUGGAAGGAUGUGACCAUUUUAAGUUACCCUGGAAAAGGUUUUGAUAAUGAAACUUUAGUUCAACUGAGGCUGAAGUGGUUGUGGCAGCAGCAAGUGCCAUUUGAGUUUGUAACUGCCCACAGAAAAGUUUAAGUUUUUGGCACCUAAAAAUCCUGUCAGCUCUUCUUGUCCUUUUAUUAUAUUAUCUCUCCAUGACCUUGACAUGAGUGAUUUUUGCAAUAUAGCAGUGGUUUCAUUUAUUUUGGCUCAUUUAAUAGGGAGCAUUUAAGAACAUAUUCUUUCUCAGCAUGCAUCCUUAAGUAUCAUCUGAACACUACCAAAGUGACUAGCACAUUAGUGAUAUAAAAUUAGCCUAUUUUUACCCUGGUUAAUUAGCACUACGUUGUUGGCUUAUGCAUAUAGAAAUAUUUUUGACAAUGUAGAUGAUUCUUUCUCAAUUUUCACUGUCCUAAAUUAAAACAAGAUAAAUUUCCUGAGAGCAAAAAGAUUCCCUUCUUACUCAUUUUUGAGUUUCAUAAAAUGAUA